UCCGUUUAUUUUAUUGAAAAGGUUUUCCAGGUAUAACAGUUAUCAGUAAACAUGAAGAAGGGUUUUCGCAGAAGAACGAGAAACGUCUUCUCAGAAAAUAAACACCUUUUCUGAUCCGGUUUCGGAAGUGACUGGAAGAAGGAACUUUGAAAAAUAUUGGCAAAGUGCGCCUCUCUAUUUUAAAGUCAGCCCAUAACUCGAUAAAUACAAUCAAAACUCCCAGAAAAUUAAAGAUAAAUUAGACUUUAUUCCUUAUUUUGAAGGUGACAGACAUAACCGUCCAUCAUACUACGAGUUAUAUAAAGUAUCAAUGAACUUUUCCAAUAUGGCCUCUCAUUUCCCUCGCUGUUGAUGGCAGAUUUACUUUAGAGGACGAAAUAAGAGACUUCUAUGUUUUUAGCGAAAAUAUCAUUUUUCUUUUAUGUGUUAUUUCAAUAAUCAAGCGUUCUUAAUUACUUUUUACUGGCGUUUUAUAUGUAGGCAUACUAGGCAAUUAUAGUAGGCAAAAAUUUAUUAAAGAAACAUGUCUGACGUAACAAUAACAACAGCAAGCCUCAAGUUGUAUGUAGAUAAGGUGUUGAAGCUUCAAAAGAACUUUAACUGGAUGAUGGACAGCUAUGUACUUGAUUUUUUCACUGAAAAUUUGUGGCAUAAACUCCCAAGAAAAUGGGCAGAUGCUCUCUCUGAACUACAGCCUAAAGAUAUUGCUUACUUUUUCUUCGAAAUGCCAUCUCCUGUGAAACCUAAUCAAAACUCACAAACGCCAAAAUUUAGAAAUGUUUGGCCUUUAGAACUUUUGGCAUUCCUUACCACAUGUUAUGCACUGAAGUUGGAGAAUCAGAAAUAUUUAAAAAUUAUCAACCAGGUGAACACUCCUGAAAAAAGCAACUCUCCAAGAGAAUGUACAAAGUCAAAAACAUUUGAAAGGGAACCAUGUGAUACCAACAGGAAUUGUAAUAUUCAAAAGGUUUCUGACAGUGGUGUGAUGCAGCAAAAGGUUGAACAUUUCAGUGACCCAUUCCGACGUCACAUCAAACCAAAGAAGCAAUAUGAGAUCAACGUUCUCUCCAAGGUAAUUUGGGAACAAACAGAAAGACUACAGUGUUGGAAUAUUGUGGAUGUCGGUGCAGGAUUGGGUCACUUAUCCCGUUUACUGAGCUACGGUUAUAAGCUACGAGUUGUGACGAUAGAAGGCGUUGGCUGUCACAAGAAUAACGCUGAAAAAAUUGACGAGAAAGUUCUCAAGAAGUUGCAAAAACAGGAAUCCGCGGAAAAGGCUGUAGAAACUGUUGAUAAACCACUUGUUCAUAUCACACAUCAUAUAAAUGCAGACAUUUCAACUGAGAAGUUCGCGAAAAUUGUCUCCGACGCCUUUUCAAAGAUGGAAAGCGAUGAAACAAGCAAGCAGUUAAACUCGCAAAAGAUGUUUGCAUCCUCAGAAAACUUUAUCAUUGUUGGUCUGCACACUUGCGGUGAUUUGGCGCCAACUUUACUGCGAGUUUUUACUCAAUGCCAGAGUGCUGUCGGGUUGAUCUCAGUCGGUUGUUGUUAUAUGAAAUUAAGCCACGAAAAAUCCACUAGAGAUCAAACCACUCCAACACUUCGAGGCAACAAGUUUAAUAUGAUCAAUUCAACAAACACGGACAGCAUAAGGACUGGAGACAAAGAAUCGACAAUCCAAAAUGAAGUGGAUCUCACAGGCGCUCAUGUCGAUCAUAUUCCUUCGGAGGUUUUUGGUCGUUCUCAGGAAGAUGCUUUUGUAAAAGUCCUGGGUUAUCCAAUGAGUCAUUGUGUUAAAGGAUUUUUGAAUCAUAAACAGACUUAUAACGCUCUCGAAUCGGCUUGCCACGCAAUCGACAGAUAUCACAAGAAAUUGUUAGAAAUAUCACCAACACUGAAACUUCACAGCUACAGAGCAUUGCUGGAACUCUUGCUUAAGCAAAAAAGGCCAGACUGCCCCAGAAGACAGAUCCGUACUUUGCGAACGAAAAAAGCAGUGAAUAUGUCAUUUUUUGAGUGAGGAACUGACCAGUUUCUAUAAAUAUGUGACAAAAGCCUGUGAUAUUCUAGAAAUAGAUGAAGACAGACCCAGCAGAGAAGAAAUACAUGUCGUUGAAGAACUUCACGGUAG
rnacentral:misc_RNA from 1 species